rnacentral:rRNA from 1 species
GUGAGUAACACGUGGGUGAUCUGCCCUGCACUUCGGGAUAAGCCUGGGAAACUGGGUCUAAUACCGGAUACGACCUUCGGCUGCAUGGCUGGGGGUGGAAAGGUUUACUGGUGCAGGAUGGGCCCGCGGCCUAUCAGCUUGUUGGUGGGGUAAUGGCCUACCAAGGCGACGACGGGUAGCCGACCUGAGAGGGUGACCGGCCACACUGGGACUGAGACACGGCCCAGACUCCUACGGGAGGCAGCAGUGGGGAAUAUUGCACAAUGGGCGAAAGCCUGAUGCAGCGACGCCGCGUGAGGGAUGACGGCCUUCGGGUUGUAAACCUCUUUCAGCAGGGACGAAGCGAGAGUGACGGUACCUGCAGAAGAAGCACCGGCCAACUACGUGCCAGCAGCCGCGGUAAUACGUAGGGUGCAAGCGUUGUCCGGAAUUACUGGGCGUAAAGAGCUCGUAGGCGGUUUGUCGCGUCGUCUGUGAAAACUCGAGGCUCAACCUCGAGCUUGCAGGCGAUACGGGCAGACUUGAGUACUGCAGGGGAGACUGGAAUUCCUGGUGUAGCGGUGAAAUGCGCAGAUAUCAGGAGGAACACCGGUGGCGAAGGCGGGUCUCUGGGCAGUAACUGACGCUGAGGAGCGAAAGCGUGGGUAGCGAACAGGAUUAGAUAC